rnacentral:rRNA from 1 species
UACGUAGGGUGCGAGCGUUAAUCGGAAUUACUGGGCGUAAAGCGUGCGCAGGCGGUUAUGCAAGACAGAUGUGAAAUCCCCGGGCUCAACCUGGGAACUGCAUUUGUGACUGCAUAGCUAGAGUACGGUAGAGGGGGAUGGAAUUCCGCGUGUAGCAGUGAAAUGUGUAGAUAUUCGGAAGAACACCAGAGGCGAAGGCAGCGGGUUGGCGCUUUAUUGACGCUCAGGCACGAAAGCAUGGGGAUCAAACAGG